rnacentral:tRNA from 1 species
GGGGCGGUAGUUCAGUGGGAGAAUGCGUGCCUGGCAGGCACGAGGUCGGGGGUUCGAUACCCCCUCGCUCCA